rnacentral:rRNA from 1 species
AUGCGCGGCGGGCGCUCGGGGGGAGGCGGCGGCGGGGGGCUGCGGAACCCCUGCCUGACGAUGCACCAGCCGUGGGCGUCGCUGCUGGUGCACGGCAUCAAGCGCGUGGAGGGCCGCUCCUGGCCGUCGCCCGUCACCGGCCGCCUCUGGAUCCACGCCGCCUCCAAGGUGCCCGACCCCGACACCGUCGCCGCCAUGGAGGACUUCUACCGGGAGAUCUACGCCGUCGACGGCGUCCACCACAUCGACUUCCCCCAGCACUACCCCGUCUCCCGCCUCCUCGGUCCCUAUCCGCCGCCUCCCCCUCUUAACUUUCUUGCUGCUGCUGCUGCUCCUAAGCUUGCUGACGCCAUUGCCGAUUAUUGCUCAGGGUGCGUCGAGGUGGUCGGCUGCGUGAGGUCCGAGGAGCUGGUCUGCUGGGAGGAUGUGCCUCAAUCAGUCAGGCUUGAAGGCUUGACAGACUUCUGCUGGCUUUGCGAGAAUCCACAGAAGUUGGUGGUUCCGUUCGAGAUGCGCGGUUACCAGGGUGUGUACAAUUUGGAAAGAAGGGUCUAUGAGGGAGCGGCCAGGGGUCUUUCGCCUGUUCAAGGUCCGCUGCCGGUCAAGUUCCCGCUUCCAGAUCCCAGAAACCCCUUGUCUCUCAAGCCAGGAUCUCUUAAUUUCGACUCUUCAAAGUCCGCCCUGGUCAAAACUGAGAGUGUUUCUGCAGCGAUAGCCGGGGCUAGAGCUGCCGCGAAUCAGUAUUCGAGGAAGGGUGGUAGUGCUGCCACUAGCAGCGAGAUUCAAACUCGAGGGAAAUCGAGGGAGAAUCAUGCCGAUGGCAGUUCAGGGAGUGGUGCUCUGCCGUCUGUUGUCCAGAACAGUCCAUCCCAUUCACUAAACCAGGAUCCAUCGCCUGUUGUCCAGAACAGUUCAUCCCACCCGCAAAACCAGGAUAGAUCGCCUGUUGUCCAUAACAGUUCAUCCCAUCGGCAAAACCAGGACCCAUCUCCUGUUGUCCAGAACAGUUCAUCCCAUUCGGUAAAUGAGAAUCCAUCGCCUGUUUUCCAGAACAGUCCAUCAUACUUGCAAACUCGGAAUCCUCAGUAUAUUGCUCAGAGCAGUCCAUCCUACUCGCAGACUCGGAAUUCUCAGUAUAUUGUUCAGAGGAGUCCAUCCUACUCGCAAACUCAGAAUCCUCAGUAUAUGGUUCAGAGCAGUCCAUCCUAUUCGCAAACUCAGAAUCCUCGGUAUAUGGUUCAGAGCAGUCCAUCCUAUUCGCAGAACACUCCAUCCUAUUUGCAGAACCAGAGUCAAUCGUCCAAUAUCCAGAGCACUCCAUUCUAUUUCCAUGACCAGAAUCAAUCGUCCAGUGUCCACAACAGUCCAUCCUAUUUCCAUCUUCAGAAUCAAUCUUCCACUGUCCACAGCAGUCCAUCCUAUUCUCAUAACCAGAAUCCACCAUCCAAUGUCCAGAACCACCCAUCCCAUCUGCAAAACCAUAACCCAUCUCCCGUUGCCCAUAACAGUCCAUCAUUUUUGCAACACCAGAACGCCGAGCCUCGGAGAAGUCCCAGACUACAGGGUGGAGCUCCCCACAGGGUGAGUGCUUAUUUUUCAUUCUGA